rnacentral:rRNA from 1 species
UAAUACGUAGGGUGCGAGCGUUAAUCGGAAUUACUGGGCGUAAAGGGUGCGCAGGCGGCCCCGCCAGUCAGACGUGAAAUCCCCGAGCUCAACUUGGGAAUGGCGUUUGAAACUACGGGGCUGGAGUGUGGCAGAGGGAGGUGGAAUUCCACGUGUAGCGGUGAAAUGCGUAGAGAUGUGGAGGAACACCAAUGGCGAAGGCAGCCUCCUGGGCCAACACUGACGCUCAUGCACGAAAGCGUGGGGAGCAAACAGGAUUAGAUACCCUGGUAGUCCACGCCCUAAACGAUGAUGACUAGUUGUUGGAGGAGUUAAAUCCUUUAGUAACGCAGCUAACGCGUGAAGUCAUCCGCCUGGGGAGUACGGUCGCAAGAUUAAAACUUAAAUGAAUUGACGG